UCCCUGGUAGUAUAUCGGUUAGUACACGCGCCUGUCAAUAGCUGCUAACGCGCGAAAGCUGGGUUCGACUCCCAGCCAGGGAG